UCCUCCGUCCAGCUUUCGUCCUGUCCGGUCGGCUGCGCUAGGUGACCGCGGAGGAGCAGCUCCGAUGGCCUCCCUGUCCGCCGUCUCCGGCAAGGCCGCCGCCGGCUACUGCAAGCCACUCGCCCUGAGCUGCAAGGUAAAGCACUGGAAAUGCAAGCGCACAUGUGUGCUGACUUGCUGCUCUGUGCUCAAUAGCAUCUCUUUUUCUUUUCUUUUUAUUCUUGUUUUGAACUUAACCAACCACGACACUUUUCCAUUAUCUAAGAGGAAGAAAAGGAAAUUCACCGCAACACUUACACAAGUGAGUAGCUUGUUUCGGUCGUCUCUUUCCUGUCGACCGGUGGACGGUAGAAAUUUUCUCCAUCUUUUAGCUGUGUGCAAGAGGUCUCCGAGAGGUCUCAGCUGGCGUCACUACUCACUAGAAACCGGAAUUUUCUGUCUGAAACAACAUGAUAGAAAGCGGAAUUGGGCGAGGCUAAUGCUGACGUACGGAUAGAGUUCUUGUUGCCACAGGCAAAUUCAGAGAGUGUGUAUAGAGUUCUUUUCUUUUCUUGUUUUUGAAAUAAUGAGUUUUGUUCCUGGAUAAAGGAAAAAAAGGAAGCGCACCAGCAAAGGUUACGAGCUAAUCCAGUGCGUGCGUAGGGCCCACGGUGCCGGCCACUCGAACAGGAUGUGAACGUUGUUAUGUUGGGGGUAGCUUGCAGUUUCACCUCACAGCCGUAGCCGUGGCCGCUCAAGUCCUCGAUGUGAUAGCCUUAGCUUUUCUUUUCCACAUUUGUGUGUACUAGACCAUAGCGGAAUUUCCAGAUGCUUCUUUUCAAAAGGUUAAUUACCCAAAGAUACGAUGGUCCUUUUUAGAGGCGAUGAUGAGCACACAACCCAACAUCUUCAUUAAUUCUUCAUACUCAUUUUGUAGCAGAAUUUUGUGGCAGUCGUCCAACUGAUGUGUGCUCCCGCUCUGAACCGAAACUUGCAGGGAAGCAGAGUUCCAGGCCGGAGCCUGAUCUCCAUGGGGGCGACGAGAAGCCGCCUCAUCUCCCUAAGAUCACCUCGCUUUCGCGUCUACGCGGUAACACCCAACACCUUUGCAUAUGCACAUCUCUUGUCUCUUGACUUUGUUUGGAAAUCUGGAACGAUGGUGCCUGUGGAGGUUCCAUUACUAUCUGACUGAACAAUAUAAUGGUGCCUGUGUACGUGCAGGCGAAGGAGGAGACGGUGAACAAGGUGAUUGACAUCGUGAAGCAGCAGCUGGCGCUGGGCGCGGACGCGGCGCUGACGCCCGAGUCCAAGUUCACGGACCUGGGCGCCGACUCUCUGGACACGGUGGAGAUCGUCAUGGCGCUCGAGGAGGAGUUCAAGAUCACCGUCGAGGAGGACAACGCCCAGAACAUCACCACCAUCCAGGAGGCCGCCGACCUCAUCGACAAGCUCGUCGGCUGAUUUAUUUGUUUCACUUACUUUUUGGGAACGUCGUUGUUGUUGCCAAGAUUCGAUUAUUUUCUCCUCCCUCCUCCU
rnacentral:lncRNA from 1 species